rnacentral:rRNA from 1 species
GAGACAGCAGUCGCCACGGGAAUACGUAGGGUGCAAGCGUUAAUCGGAAUUACUGGGCGUAAAGCGUGCGCAGGCGGUUGUGUAAGACAGGUGUGAAAUCCCCGGGCUUAACCUGGGAACUGCGCUUGUGACUGCACAGCUAGAGUAUGGCAGAGGGGGGUGGAAUUCCACGUGUAGCAGUGAAAUGCGUAGAGAUGUGGAGGAACACCGAUGGCGAAGGCAGCCCCCUGGGCCAAUACUGACGCUCAUGCACGAAAGCGUGGGAAGCAAACAGGAUUAGAUACCCGGGUAGUCCCUGUCUCUUAUAC